rnacentral:rRNA from 1 species
CAGGCUUAACACAUGCAAGUCGAGGGGCAGCAUAGUCUUAGCUUGCUAAGGCCGAUGGCGACCGGCGCACGGGUGAGUAACACGUAUCCAACCUGCCGUCUACUCUUGGACAGCCUUCUGAAAGGAAGAUUAAUACAAGAUGGCAUCAUGAGUCCGCAUGUUCACAUGAUUAAAGGUAUUCCGGUAGACGAUGGGGAUGCGUUCCAUUAGAUAGUAGGCGGGGUAACGGCCCACCUAGUCUUCGAUGGAUAGGGGUUCUGAGAGGAAGGUCCCCCACAUUGGAACUGAGACACGGUCCAAACUCCUACGGGAGGCAGCAGUGAGGAAUAUUGGUCAAUGGGCGAGAGCCUGAACCAGCCAAGUAGCGUGAAGGAUGACUGCCCUAUGGGUUGUAAACUUCUUUUAUAAAGGAAUAAAGUCGGGUAUGGAUACCCGUUUGCAUGUACUUUAUGAAUAAGGAUCGGCUAACUCCGUGCCAGCAGCCGCGGUAAUACGGAGGAUCCGAGCGUUAUCCGGAUUUAUUGGGUUUAAAGGGAGCGUAGAUGGAUGUUUAAGUCAGUUGUGAAAGUUUGCGGCUCAACCGUAAAAUUGCAGUUGAUACUGGAUAUCUUGAGUGCAGUUGAGGCAGGCGGAAUUCGUGGUGUAGCGGUGAAAUGCUUAGAUAUCACGAAGAACUCCGAUUGCGAAGGCAGCCUGCUAAGCUGCAACUGACAUUGAGGCUCGAAAGUGUGGGUAUCAAACAGGAUUAGAUACCCUGGUAGUCCACACGGUAAACGAUGAAUACUCGCUGUUUGCGAUAUACUGCAAGCGGCCAAGCGAAAGCGUUAAGUAUUCCACCUGGGGAGUACGCCGGCAACGGUGAAACUCAAAGGAAUUGACGGGGGCCCGCACAAGCGGAGGAACAUGUGGUUUAAUUCGAUGAUACGCGAGGAACCUUACCCGGGCUUAAAUUGCAGAUGAAUUACGGUGAAAGCCGUAAGCCGCAAGGCAUCUGUGAAGGUGCUGCAUGGUUGUCGUCAGCUCGUGCCGUGAGGUGUCGGCUUAAGUGCCAUAACGAGCGCAACCCUUGUUGUCAGUUACUAACAGGUUCCGCUGAGGACUCUGACAAGACUGCCAUCGUAAGAUGUGAGGAAGGUGGGGAUGACGUCAAAUCAGCACGGCCCUUACGUCCGGGGCUACACACGUGUUACAAUGGGGGGUACAGAGGGCCGCUACCACGCGAGUGGAUGCCAAUCCCCAAAACCUCUCUCAGUUCGGACUGGAGUCUGCAACCCGACUCCACGAAGCUGGAUUCGCUAGUAAUCGCGCAUCAGCCACGGCGCGGUGAAUACGUUCCCGGGCCUUGUACACACCGCCCGUCAAGCCAUGGGAGCCGGGGGUACCUGAAGUGCGUAACCGCGAGGAGCGCCCUAGGGUAAAACUGGUGACUGGG